UGACCUCUGCUAGCUCGUCAG
rnacentral:misc_RNA from 1 species